UGUUCAUACUUAGAGUUCAAUGAGUAAAA
rnacentral:piRNA from 1 species